rnacentral:rRNA from 1 species
UACGGGGGGGGCAAGCGUUGUUCGGAAUUACUGGGCGUAAAGGGCUCGUAGGCGGCCAACUAAGUCGGACGUGAAAUCCCCAGGCUCAACCUGGGAACUGCGUCCGAUACUGGAUGGCUUGAAUUCGGGAGAGGGAUGCAGAAUUCCAGGUGUAGCGGUGAAAUGCGUAGAUAUCUGGAGGAAUACCGGUGGCGAAGGCGGCAUCCUGGACCGACAUUGACGCUGAGGAGCGAAAGCGUGGGUAGCAAACAGG